GAUGAACGCUGGCGGCGUGCCUAAUACAUGCAAGUCGAGCGAACAGAUGAGGAGCUUGCUCCUCUGACGUUAGCGGCGGACGGGUGAGUAACACGUGGAUAACCUACCUAUAAGACUGGGAUAACUUCGGGAAACCGGAGCUAAUACCGGAUAAUAUAUUGAACCGCAUGGUUCAAUAGUGAAAGACGGUUUUGCUGUCACUUAUAGAUGGAUCCGCGCCGCAUUAGCUAGUUGGUAAGGUAACGGCUUACCAAGGCAACGAUGCGUAGCCGACCUGAGAGGGUGAUCAGCCACACUGGAACUGAGACACGGUCCAGACUCCUACGGGAGGCAGCAGUAGGGAAUCUUCCGCAAUGGGCGAAAGCCUGACGGAGCAACGCCGCGUGAGUGAUGAAGGUCUUCGGAUCGUAAAACUCUGUUAUUAGGGAAGAACAAAUGUGUAAGUAACUAUGCACGUCUUGACGGUACCUAAUCAGAAAGCCACGGCUAACUACGUG
rnacentral:rRNA from 1 species